AACGAACGCUGGCGGCAGGCUUAACACAUGCAAGUCGAGCGCCCCGCAAGGGGAGCGGCAGACGGGUGAGUAACGCGUGGGAAUCUACCCAUCUCUACGGAAUAACGCAUGGAAACGUGUGCUAAUACCGUAUACGUCCUUCGGGAGAAAGAUUUAUCGGAGAUAGAUGAGCCCGCGUUGGAUUAGCUAGUUGGUGGGGUAAAGGCCUACCAAGGCGACGAUCCAUAGCUGGUCCGAGAGGAUGAUCAGCCACACUGGGACUGAGACACGGCCCAGACUCCUACGGGAGGCAGCAGUGGGGAAUAUUGGACAAUGGGCGCAAGCCUGAUCCAGCCAUGCCGCGUGAGUGUUGAAGGCCCUAGGGUUGUAAAGCUCUUUCACCGGUGAAGAUAAUGACGGUAACCGGAGAAGAAGCCCCGGCUAACUUCGUGCCAGCCGCCGCCGUAAAAC
rnacentral:rRNA from 1 species